AUUCAAUUACAAAAUACAAAUUCCAUGUAUCCUAUUAUAGUUGAAAGAAUAGUCACUGUAAUUAUUUUAUGACUUAUAUUGUGUUAUGGACAGUACCAAAUAUGUCUAAUACUUUUCACAGUAUUUGUCCAUGUCAAUUGUCUGUCAAUCUGAUUUAUUCAAAUCAUUUAUAUCCUAAUCUAUUAUUCUUUAUUUGUGAGUAAUUUUAAUUUGUGUAUACACUUAGAAAUUUUAGUUUUAAAUUAUAAUUAUAUAAAUAGGUAGGUAUAAAUUAAAUUAAAGAAAAACUAUUUUCUGAAAAUUGAAUGCAUAUUUUUUUUUUUUUUUUGAACGUUUAUUAUUGUAUAAUCUAUAAUUAUAUUUGCAAUGAGCAUAUGAACAUUCAGAUAUAUUAAAAAAAAAAAAAUGAUAUGAGGGUGUGAGGAGAGAACAUACCCAGCAAUAACACUCAGAAUUGAUUACAUAUAAAUUAUUAUUAAGCAAACAACUUACUAAUUGUAAUAAUAGUUUAAAGUUUUAAAUGUUAAGUAGUUUACACAAUGUCCAUAGACUUUUAUAUCAUCAA